GCAUUGUAGAUGAGGGUGCUGGGAAGGCUUCUCCAUCAGCUUGGAUGAAUAAAGUUUUGAAGUCCUUGGAGCCUCCUGCAGAUGUGUCUACAGGGAAGACUUCUCCAGCUUCUCCAGCUGCUACCUUGGAUGCUGCACUCAAGCCCAGCUCCCAUCUCAGGGGUGAGUAGUGUGUCCCUGCUGACCCCACAGGCUGAACCCUGCUUUUCUGGGAUCCAUUCCUGGGAAAUGGAAAUAUUUUUCUCUAAGGUACUCCAACAGGGAAAAUCCAAGAUACAACAGAUAAGAUAUCCCUGGAACCAUCCAAACAGAUGAGGCAAGAGCUGAAGGAACCCCUGCAGACAAGAGAAGAGAUGGACAUAGUGCUUCAGUGGAAGGUGAUAUUUCUUGAAGGAAGCACUCCAUCUUCGGUGCCAGCCCCUUCUGCAGGAAGGAAGGCAAAGCCAGACACGGGCAC